UUUGCAUUGACAGUUGGUGAUGUCAAGUGAUAAGCUGUCCUCUCUCCACUCCCCACUCCUCAACCUUGACCUACAGGUGGCUGACUGCAAUAAUCAAAACAGAGUUGUCUCCCUUGAACUAGACAGAACUGACCUCAAGAAACUGAUCGCAUCAUUAGAGGGAGCUGGGAAGGCUGUGCAGCAAUUAUCCUCCUGAGGUCAGACGAGAGGUCCCGCCAUCAUUCCAAAAGUCUUCCUCAAAUGCAUGGUCGUCUACUCACACUGAUGUUGAGACUCUCACUCAGUCUACAUGCCGUUCCACAUUGUAUUACUGGAGUAGAUCCUUCAUGAAGAGUUCAACCUGUCAUGUCUGGGAUGUGGAAAUGUGCAAUAUUCACCUGACUGUGUGUUUUGUUUGAUUGGUAUUUUAGAAUUUGAUGAAUAACAAGAAAGUUAGGAUACUUUAUGGAGGACAACUUCUUGAAUAAAUUACCAUGCAAUGUUUCGGGCAUAGGUUGUCAAGCAAGAGUGACCGUAUAGACAAACCUUAAUGGAUAACAACUUUAUUUCACGAGUGGGACGUUUCGAUUCUUGUACCGUUGUCAAUCUGGAGCGAUGUACAACGGUACAAGAAUCUGUAUUGAAAUGUCACACUCACAAAUAGAGAAAUUGUUAUCUAUAAAGGCUUGUUUACAUUGUACUUCCACAAUGACACGCAAAGAACUUAAGACUGACUGUGUUACCAGCUGGGUAAUCUGAGAAUGUUUCAAAUCCAUCAACAUUGCGUUAUUUGAUGAGUGAUCCAAAUAUUCCCAUCCUUAAAAGCUGAAUCACACAUCUAUCAGAAUGAGGUUUUGUUAUAUGUACAUAGAGAGGAAGCAUGCUAUUUGAUGAAUGGUAAAUAACUAUUUACUUACAAACAGUUGUCAACAUGGUCAAGUCAGUAUUAACUAACCCAACGCACCUCGUACAUUGUCAGACACAGCCACCAGUCUGAGAUAAGUGGAAAUCCAUAGGCCUGGUAGGUUUCAUCCCAGAUGUAUAUACUUUGCAUAGACCGCUUGUCUGAAAUUGUGAUUUGAAUAAACCAUUGGUGUCUACUAUGGUUUAAAUGUUACUGUUCGGUCACUAGUUAUUGCCUUGAUGAUGUAAUAAACUGCUAUAAUGUGA